rnacentral:rRNA from 1 species
GACGAACGCUGGCGGCGUGCUUAACACAUGCAAGUCGAACGGAAAGGCCCUGCUUUUGUGGGGUGCUCGAGUGGCGAACGGGUGAGUAACACGUGAGUAACCUGCCCUUGACUUUGGGAUAACUUCAGGAAACUGGGGCUAAUACCGGAUAGGAGCUCCUGCUGCAUGGUGGGGGUUGGAAAGUUUCGGCGGUUGGGGAUGGACUCGCGGCUUAUCAGCUUGUUGGUGGGGUAGUGGCUUACCAAGGCUUUGACGGAUAGCCGGCCUGAGAGGGUGACCGGCCACAUUGGGACUGAGAUACGGCCCAGACGCCUACGGGAGGCAGCAGUGGGGAAUAUUGCACAAUGGGCGGAAGCCUGAUGCAGCAACGCCGCGUGCGGGAUGACGGCCUUCGGGUUGUAAACCGCUUUCGCCUGUGACGAAGCGUGAGUGACGGUAAUGGGUAAAGAAGCACCGGCUAACUACGUG